UACUACUUCCGGAAUCAAAUACGAGUGUGUUUUGUAAUCAUGGCAGACUUGGUAACAAACAACGAAGAUGACUAUUUUUGGACAAAAUGAGGAUUCACAACCUUAUCUUUUUGAAGCUGAAUAUACCGCUGCUCAUAGAAGCGAGUACUAAGGAAGAGGUGGGGGACGGGGAUGAAAGAGACUUUGACGCUAUAAAUAUGGAACUUUGAGCCUAGCUAUUUCGACAUAAAUGGAUUGCUUACCCAAAAUCAACAGAAAACGUCAGCUGGACCAGGCGAACAACUGAUUUUUCCGUGCAAUGAUUUCUGUUUCCGUAACAGCACACGUCUGACUUCCGGCAACAAAUGUGUGUUCCUACUUCCGGAAUCAAAUACGAGUGUGUUUUGUAAUCAUGGCAGACUUGGUAACAAACAACGAAGAUGACUAUUUUUGGACAAAAUGAGGAUUCACAACCUUAUCUUUUUGAAGCUGAAUAUACCGCUGCUCAUAGAAGCGAGUACUAAGGAAGAGGUGGGGGACGGGGAUGAAAGAAACUUUGACACUAUGAAUAUGGAACUUUGAGCCUAGCUAUUUCGACAUAAAUGGAUUGCUUACCCAAAAUCAACAGGAAACGUCAGCUGGACCAGACGAACAACUGUCCAUCGGGCGGUGGAGAAAGCGUUUUUAAAGAUGAAUAAAAAAAGGGCCGGUUACGUAAAGGUCGCUGAACUCCUCCACCAGAUGCUUGGGGACCCUCUUCCCCACGUUGGUCUGGUAGAAGGCAACGCCGUUCUUGCUGUACUGGCUGAGCCGCCCCACGCUCGCCUCCCCAUCUGUGCGCUCCAGCAGCCCGUUGUCCGCCGCCAGGUGGUACACCGGGUUCCCAUUGGCUCCGUGGAUCCAGGUGGCUCCUAGCUCCAAAGCUGCUUCACCUAGAAGACACGAAAAAAAAACAUUGUUUUUACUUAGAGAAGGCAAAUAUUGGCACCUUUUUUUAAAUUAAUCGGCGAUCUUUACCGCAGCUGUAUUCACAGACCAGUGUUUCCUACACAUU